AGAACAACUAAAGGAGAGCCCAGAGACAAGGAAGAAGAGUAUGAGGGUGACAACAGUAAAAGGGAAGAAGAAGAGAAACCACAGCUGUUUCCUCCCUCUCUUCGUGCAAGCCAAACUUGACCUCCAUAUGCUGGACAGAGCCUCUGCUUGAUAGAGACGGCGGAUCUGAGAUAUCAAACGAUGGGGAACAGUCCACAGCACAUCACGAUAUUUUAUCAGUGCCUGCGUCAACUUGGUUGUGACAUUGGCAUAAGUCAUCUAAAGGAAGACAUUCAUUAGAGUUACAUAUGUAUUCCCAGUCUUACUUGGUUUAAUUAUUUAAGUCUGGUUAUAGUUUCAAUUGUAAUAUGGAUCAUUGUUUAAAAAUUCAUGCAGAAAAAACAAGUCUUAUAUUGCAGUACGUAUACUAGUGUACUACAAUAAACAAAUUUUCAUAUUAAAGGUCAAAGAAAUCAAA